UGGGGAAUAUUGCACAAUGGGCGCAAGCCUGAUGCAGCAACGCCGCGUGAACGGUGAAGGCCUUCGGAUCGUAAAGUUCUGUUGCGGGGGAAGAUAAUGACGGUACCCUGUGAGGUAGCCCCGGCUAACUACGUGCCAGCCGCCGCGGGUAUACGUAGGGGGCUAGCGUUAUCCGGAUUUACUGGGCGGAAAGGGGGCGUAGGUUGUCUUUCAAGUCGGUGGUUAAAGGCUACGGCUCAAACGUGGUUAGCCUCCGAAACUGGAAGACUUGAGUGUAGGAGAGGAAAGUGGAAUUCCCCGUGUGGCGGUGAAAUGCGUAGAUAUAUGGAGGAACACAAGUAGCGCAGGCGGCUUUCUGGACUGCAACUGACACUGAGGGACGCAAGCGUUGGUAGCAAACAGG
rnacentral:rRNA from 1 species